GAUGAACGCUAGCUACAGGCUUAACACAUGCAAGUCGCGGGGCAGCAUGGGGGUUGCUUGCAAUCCCCGAUGGCGACCGGCGCACGGGUGAGUAACGCGUAUCCAACCUGCCCUUCACCACGGGAUAACCCGGCGAAAGUCGGACUAAUACCGUAUGUUGUCCAUUGACGGCAUCCGAUUUGGACGAAAGGCUUGGCGGUGAGGGAUGGGGAUGCGUCCGAUUAGCCAGACGGCGGGGUAACGGCCCACCGUGGCUACGAUCGGUAGGGGUUCUGAGAGGAAGGUCCCCCACACUGGAACUGAGACACGGUCCAGACUCCUACGGGAGGCAGCAGUGAGGAAUAUUGGUCAAUGGGCGUAAGCCUGAACCAGCCAAGUAGCGUGCAGGAUGACGGCCCUAUGGGUGUAAACUGCUUUUAUGCGGGGAUAAAGUGGCCCACGUGUGGGCUUUUGCAGGUACCGCAUGAAUAAGGACCGGCUAAUUCCGUG
rnacentral:rRNA from 1 species